AGCGAACGCUGGCGGCAGGCCUAACACAUGCAAGUCGAACGGACCCUUCGGGGUUAGUGGCGGACGGGUGAGUAACACGUGGGAACGUGCCUUUAGGUUCGGAAUAGCUCCUGGAAACGGGUGGUAAUGCCGAAUGUGCCCUUGGGGGGAAAGAUUUAUCGCCUUUAGAGCGGCCCGCGUCUGAUUAGCUAGUUGGUGAGGUAAAGGCUCACCAAGGCGACGAUCAGUAGCUGGUCUGAGAGGAUGACCAGCCACAUUGGGACUGAGACACGGCCCAAACGCCUACGGGAGGCAGCAGUGGGGAAUCUUGCGCAAUGGGCGAAAGCCUGACGGAGCGACACCGCGUGGAGGAUGAAGUCCAAUUCGGACGUAAACACCUGUUCUGAGGGACGAAAUUUUUGACGGUACCUCAGGAGAAAGCAUCGGCUAACCCUGUGCCAGCAGCCGCGGUAA
rnacentral:rRNA from 1 species